rfam:Alcanivorax borkumensis SK2, complete genome
GACGGCAGCUAUAAAUAUGCAUGGCUGGCCGUGACCUUAAUUGAGCAUAUUGGAGAAGCAUCAUGGCGUUAACCGUUGAACAAAAAGCUGAAAUUCUGAAAGAGCAUGGCCGCAAAGAG